GGCGAGGGGGAAGGCGGACGGGCCGUCCCGGGCUUGGCCGGCUGCUCCCCCUGCGGAAGAAGGAGCAAUUUUUUUUUCGCUGCAGCGGCACGACCGAGGGAGAAGGGGCUUCCCUCGCCCGGCGCUGGCUCUCCGCCCGGCUUCCCGUUGCUCGCGCAGCUGAAGGCACAAAGAAAAGAGAGAGCUGUUCUUCCUGCAACAUUGCCCGUGAUUGUACCUAUCUUCUCCGUAACAAGCAAAGGAUAUUUAGUGUACAGUCACAACAAACAAACGUGGCCUGUGUGACUAUGGAAUGGCUGUGACUCUUCAUGAGGAAAGACGUAUCUCAUCAGAAGGUACUUUGCAGAUGCUACCAACUAAGGAGCAUCCUUUUAGAAGGGGCAACAACUGCAUGGAAGAUCUCCAUGUGGAUUUACAGCUACAGAUGAAGCUUUUGGGGGUAGGUCAAGCAGAGGAAGCAGAAUUAUUUGCUGGGAUUUAAAAAGAAAAAAUUGAAACUGAAAAACUGUCUGCACUGACAAAAUGACUUUUUGAGGUCUACUGUGUGUCUGAGGUUGUGGUUAGCACCUUUCAUUUAACAAAGCCAAAAGUGGUAUCUCAGCAAUGAAAAAGUUAAUUGGUUGCCAAGUUAGGGGUCUGUUAGCAGUGCUGAACAGAUGCCGGGACCCAGAGAAGGCAAUUGCUACAAUAAUGAUGAGCAGUAGAAGGUAGGAGGAAUAUAAUAAAAUAAUGCCAAGUAAUCUCUGAUUUUUUUUCCUUGGAAAUACAAGGUCAGCCUUGAAGGGUGUGUUACAGUGACAGCAUAUAGGGAGUGAGAAUGAAUGUGAAGGAGAAAUAAAAACAAUCAGAAUUGAAUUACAGAAGAUGACGCACAUCAACAUGACUCAAGAGAAAUAUGAUAUAGGCUUCAGAAAGGAUUAUUAGAAUAUAUGAUGCUUCAUGAUGCUCUUUUCCAUGGAAUUAACGUUUUGGUGAGGUAUAUACAGCUCCUCUCAAAAGAGAAAUGUUGCAGUAGUCAAGCCUGAAAAGCAUUCCUAAAUUUCUUCAGAGCAAUUGGAGACCUUUUCUUCUACACUACCCUAGACUGUGAAAUAUAGGCCACGGUUUACAGUACAACUCAACCUUAUGUCUUGUACCAUAUCAUUUAUACUCUGCCAACUGCAUAGCUAUGACACUGAUAUUGGACUGUGUAGAAUUUGACAGGGACAUCAGGAUUAUAAUGAAACAAACACAAGGUCCAUUGGUUUUAGAACCUCCUACUAAAAAGAAAAAUAUUAAGGAAAUCAGUAAUAAUAGCCAAAUCUCAGUUACUAACUAAUUUGAACCAAAAGAGCUGUAGAAAGCCCAUGACUGUUACCUGUCCAUCCAUCCACCUGACAGAGCAGCAACAAAAAGAACAGCCAGUUCAUCAAAAUAAUGUCACUCUUCUGUGGUAUGAAAGCCACAGUGGAGAUAAGUUCUAACAAGACGAGGCUGAGGAAAGAUUCAAACAACUGGGAAAAAAAAAUCAGUUAUCAUCAAAAAAGAGACGGUAACUUAAAAAAAGGUUCAAAAGCAACAUAUAAACUUUGUAAUGUACACUGUAAUAUCUUGUUUUUACCUUAAUUUUGAGAAGGGAUGAUUGUAGAUUUUAACAAAAUAUUAUUCAUAUAAAGACAGAGCAAGUGAAAAAUCACCUUGUCCAAACACGGAUCCUGAAAUUAAAAUGUCAAAGCUUUGCAGAAUUUGUAGAAUUCUAGGUCCGUCAGUUAUUCCAAUGACUUUGGAGAUAAUACACAGUUCUAUAAUAAGAAUGGAAAGCAAGGACUUUCACCACACAUCCUUAGAAUAACUUUUUUAUGCAAAACGAUGGCAGUCUUGCAGAAAUUUGCUAGUGAGGAGCAAUGCCAGCAGUCCUUUCCCUCCCUGCAGAGUAGUAACACGGAACAGCUCCAUUACCUUUCCUCAGAAUGUGUGCUGAGGCUCUCCAGAUUGAGGCAAGAGAUGUCUAAGAAUUGCUUGGAAAAACAGAAAAGGAGGGCAGCUGAGCCACUGCAUGAUGACAGGGGGGUUUGACAUUUUCCCACUGACUAAGGGGGUAGGAGUUACACAGCUUCACAGUCCUUUGCACAGACAUUGCUAGUCUGUAACUACACUUUUCUUCAUGUUGCUUUUAUCUCUUUUUCUCACAACUCAGAUACAGAACAUUCAUUAAAUGAAUUCAUACUGAUUUUUUUAAUCUUGGCACUCUGCCCACUGCGUAUUUUCUUGCCAAGAUAAGAUUCCUUAGUCAUUUGUUCUUUCUACGUCUUAAUGGCUUUAAGAAACCACAGUUUUAAAGAAUCUCGGGAGAGAAUGUCUUAUAAGGCCUUUUUACUCAUUAUAGCCAAAGUACAAUUCCGACACGUCUUGGGCAUUCUCAUAAGCGGGCUUUGUUAGAAAGGAGGCAGGCAUCUCUUACGCCAUCAGCUUGCAAUUUAUGUUGUGGCUAUUCCUGUCUUCCUGAUACCUUGGCAACUGUUCUAGAAAGCAAAUGAAGAACAGAGGAAGUUUUAGGGACCAGGAAGAAAGACAUAAAAAGGGAGAGGUCACAUUCAACCAGCAGUUUGAGUACAAAACCGAAGUAGGUCUGUCAAUUUUUAGGGAGCAGCUUUAGCAGAGUUUGGGCCUGUUUUUAAAAAUACCCAUUUCAAAUUCCUCUUGCACAUCUGCACCCCCAGCACAGGCUAUGUUUACUCUUGCAGAUCAUAAACCUUCUCACAAGUAUUUUUUUACCUUUUUUUUUUUUAAGGAUAUAAAAGGUGAGCCCAUCAGUUCUGAGAUCUCUAGAAUUUCCUCAAGACAUUCAAAAAUAACCCUAUCAUCUUGGAAGCCAAUCAGGGAUAUCACAAGGGGAUGGCCAGUUUAACUCUUCUAGCUGCUAUAGGUUGGGUUUAAAUUGUUAUCAUCUCCAGCUGUUCAUUAAUCUGGAUCCUUUCACAGAAUCAGCACAAAAAACAUUCACAUGAACAGUUUAACAAGCAAAAUUGAAGGGGCAGUAACCAAGAGAGCCGGGGAGAGGCAGGAACAAGCAGCUGUCCUAACUUACCUGGAGUCUGCUUCGGUCAAAACACUUGGUUUUACUGUGGCUUAAUUGUGAAGUCUGAUUUUUUUCAAGGCACUGUUAUGCACUUUGGUUUUAUCUGUGGGGAAUUAUACUGAAGCCCUUUUGCUAACAGUAUGAGCUUGAAAGACCAUGGACAUAGGUCUUGAUUAAAAUAGGACCAUUUUUCCACCUCUCACUUACAGGCAGUUAGAAACUGGCAUUAAAUGUUUCUAAGAAAAUUAAUUUUAAGGGUGGAGAGCAGCCUUGGAAUAGAAUUCCCCAGUAUUUAAACUGUGCUGACAACAGCAAAUUAUUAUUAUUUUAUUAUCAUUAUAUUUGAGAUCUGGAAGACAAAGAGCAGAGCAAGAAUGUACAAAAGACUGAACUAUCGGUUCAGAGUACAUAAUGGGGAGCCCAGCAAUUUAAAUUUACUGUGGAAUGUAAAAUCAGAGCUCUGCAUAGUGACUGGUUUGAUGCUGGAAUGGCACUCCUAUAACAGAUGGUCUGUGAAGAAGCAGUUAAUGUAAAAUGAAUGUAAAAGAAUGCUACAUAUUACAUUUUUGACAAUCAUUUUUAGGCUUCAUGCAUUAGGCCCUAGGAUACUUACUCAUUCAGUUAAAUUCCCCAAGGUAAAAAACGGGAAGUGUAGUGUCUCUAAUAAUUCAUCACCUCCCUAAUUUAGAGCAUGACAACAUCCUUUGAGCAUACCUAAAGCAGCAGUGAUGCCUUUCUGAACCUGCCAUUAGAGCUGGAAUGUGUAAAAAUGGAGGCUGCAAUUUCCUUUUCAGUGUGAGACAGUGAUCCCAGGAUAGUUGUUUUACUAAUGCUAUUGAUGACAACUCUUUUGCAGGUCAUCAGGUCAAACACCACACUGGCAACUACUCUGCAUCCCCCUCAGUGUUGGCAGUGGGAGUCUUACAGCAGCCACGCUUUCUAAAUUAAGUCCACGCAAACAAUGUUACAACUUCCACAAAACAAGCAACCAAUGUGAAGCUCUCUGUUCUUUCAGGAGAUGCCACUUGUUAGAUAAUACGAUAGGCCCUUCUUUGAAGGCACAGAGAGGGUAGAUCAAAGAAGCCUAUACUGGACUGGAACACCUAGUUGUUUAUUGCCACCAGCACUUUUGUAGUCUGCUACAUGAUAUUUUAAAGCAGUGCUAGGGGGCAAACGAAGCAAAACAAAAACUACAUCUGAGUUCAGUUCUUUCUUUUUGUUAUGUCUGAACAGUGCAAUAGGAUCCUACUCCAGUAGAGGGGCUCCUAGACACUUAAAUAAUGAACGAGAGAUCAGUAUGACAGGUCAAAUAGUUUGCGUACUUUUUGGUAUGUUCAUUUUAAAACACCAUUUUGGAGAUAAUGAAAUAUAUAUGCAUGUGCAUAUAGUACAUAUUUUAAAUUGUAUACUUACAUAUAUACUUAUUAUUUUAAAUUGCAAGUUUGCUAUCUGGGCACAUUUAGAUUCUUUCUCCCACAACUAGAUAGCUGGGGAUAGGCAUGACACACUUAAAAGAUGUGAUACAGCGUUUUUUGUGGUUUUCUCCUUUGUCUUACAAUAGUUACUUAAGGGCUUUCGGUGAGCUUGGUGACAGCCCAGCACUUCUCUAGCAGUCACUGGCAUGAACUGCUUCCCUUCUUACUCCGGAAUAUAUUGCUUAAAGUAGGUCCUAUGAAAGGAGGCAACAUGCAGCUUCUGCUGACGUGUUUGCACUGUGCACCUGCCACCUUUAGGGCCCUUCUGUGGAAAGUGAGCAACACACAAGAUCUAGAAUGGAGAAAGUAAUGCUCUCCAAAUAUUUAAAUAUAAGUAUACUCCAGACUUGCAUCAUUUAUAUCAUAGCAACAGAAGAGCUGAGAAUUUUCACUGUCCAGUGACAGUGAAAAUGGCUUUUAUUUUUUUUUAACUGGACAGCAUAACUAUCCAGUAGACUUGUAUCUGAGACUACUGGCACGCGCUGAUAUGAAUCAGUGAGGCAAACAGAGUGGAACGACUAAUCAUCAAAGAGCACCUCCUCUUGCUUUUUUGCAUGUUUUAGUCUGGUUUAUUUUGACAAGGAAAUUAAUUUAUUGUUAUUUUCAGUGCCACAGACAGGCUAUAGGGAGUACACGCACAAAUAUUUAAUAUCUGUGCAUCUGAUAAUGUAUUAUGCAUGUCUUACAUAGUCACGAGGGGAAAAAAGGCAGGAUAUAGUGUUUUACUGCCAGCCCGAGAAUAUCCAAGAGGGUUAUUAAACUGUUAAUGAGAGCCACUGUCAGACGAGGAGAUUAGCUGGACAACUCACUGAAUGUGGUAGUUCUGUGAUUCUCCUGCGCCACUGGGGAUCCUUUUUGAUGUUCAGUGUCGGGGAAGGCCUUAUGUAUGCCUGUGUCAGACAGAUGUGGUCGUGGGGCUCUGCUUUUUCUUUUGCUCCUUCAUUUGCAUGUUGGAUCAGAAUUAUAAAGAUUGGUGGUUAAGCACAAACACUAGCUGGUCACUGAGUUAAGUGCUCUAUCACUGAAAUGCUGUAGCUUUAAACAAUAGAUCAUCUCCUUCCCAGAACUGAUUUAUCAGGGGACAGAUCACCUAGCAACGAAGUCCCCCUGGAAAAGGGUCUGUGUCUAGUGUAUUUCAAGGAAAAAAGAUCUCUCAUAAAAAUUGUCUUAGGACAAAUACCUUGUUCUUUAUGUCUAGGAUUUUUACGAGUAACUUUUAAAGAGUUAAAGAUUUUCCAGUGGCAUAAGAAUUACUUCUUAGUAACACUUUUUGCAGUUAGUAAGUGGGAAACACUAAAGAAAAUAAAUAUUCUGUUAUAAAUGCCUUGGCAACAUGGUAUUUUUCAGAGUGAAAAAAAAGUGUUAUCGGUACAUAUGUAGUGACCUACAUAGAAACACCAAGCUUUCAGUAUCUCAUGUCAAAAAAACAUAGUAAUGCAAAUUGGAGAGCAUGUUUGAUUCUCCCAAUUCUGAUUCAUUUUGAAGACAAAAAGUCCUUCCAGCCGUAUAUUCAGUAUGUUCGGUAUCACUUAUUUAGAGACAGUGAUGACUGCAGAUAUGGUUAGAUUCACAAAGAUGGUAUAAAUUAAUUAAAUAUUUAUAUGAUCAUACAGUCAGAUUAGAUGGGGACCUCAAGCUCUUGGGAAGUUAUCUAUGCCAUUAUCUAUGCCAUAUCUAUACCAUCACACUAUCUGGACUCUCCUGAGAAAGAUAAUACAGAAGAACUCACAGUACCGCAGCCACAGUUGUGAUGACAUUUCUGUGAAGCACUAAAGCACUAAGCUGUGGAAAACGAGCCCCUGUUGUAUUUCAUCAGUUAGAAAAGAGUACCUGUUUCUUCAGUUAAUUAUGUCAGAUUUCUUUUACUUCAUACCAUAUCACAGCCUCUGGCACCAUUUCUUCAUUUAUUUGGGUCAAAUCCCACUGGCUGAUACUUUGAGGGGGUACAGCUUUACCUAAUACCAGGUCUUGGGAUUCAAGGCUGUUUAUUGAGCAAGAACUGCAUCUUUGAAUAAGGCUCCCACACACAAGACUAUGAUUUUUCCAUUAGUGCAUUAAAACUCGUUUCUAGGUAUUCCCACUGGAAGAUCUGAAACAGCCAACUGCACAGGACUAAGACGUCUGUUGGAUGCUAGCGUGCUCCUUUCUGCAGCCUGCCCAGCGUCCUUCCACAACUGCCCAAGCAGGUAAAGUCCAGGCUGUACAUGCCCGGCAGAUUCAGCAGCUGAGCAGCUGUCUUCUAGCAGGACAGUCCUGGGAUAUUCAUGCCAUGCCAGCAGGAACAUUUAUUCCUCUUAUCGGAACUGAGCCCAAUAACUUAUUGCUGGGCUGAGUUCAGAUUCGCUGCAGACUCUUCACAGAUUCUGAAAUUAGCUCCUGAGGUUUGAGCCUCCAGAAGACUUCCAAGAGUGGGAAACUAAUGCUACAAAGGAUCGUGGCUCACUGAGCUGAGGUACUAAACCGGGUCUCUGGAGAUCAAUGCUCAGUUCUCAGCUCUCCCACAGACUCCUCUCCGUGAUCAAAGGCCAAACCUCCUCAGGAAAAAUACUUUUUUCUACCCGUUGUCUUUUUUCAUUUCUUUAGCGACAAGCCUUUAGGAAUAGAUACUACUUUUUAUAACGUGGUUUUACAGCAUCAAAUGUGUAAAGAUUUAUAGGUACUAAUGGAAAGUAAAUAAUAACAUAUCCAGCCAUCAUGAAUAGGUCUCUGUGGUAGUGGAUUCAGUGCCACAUGGGACAUCACUGAUCAUCCUGCAUGACACUGCUUAUGUUGACAUAGUAUCAUACUUCUGGUACAUUUUUUGGAACUGAAUUUCUUAAAUUACAUCUUUUCAGUGGAUCUCUUUAUCCAUGAAAAAAGGUAUGUACAUAUUUUUAAAGUGAGCAUACAUACAUGUUUUUAACCACACCUGCCAACAAGCUUGGUGUACAGUUCUGCCUUGCUUUUUUAUGUUUUUCAGAGAGCUGUGUGCUCAGAAAAGUAUACCACUGAGAUGGAAAACGUCUACUUGCAGGUUGAAGCAGUAUAGACUUGCUGGUCUUGGAAUGGGACCCUACUUAGCUUUGAGAUUCCCUUACUUAAUCUAUUUUAUAGAUGCCUGUCUUCCUUCCCCCUUUACUAAAGCGGCAGCAGAGCCAAGCUUUCCUCCCUCAGCAAAGGUAAAGAGGAGUUAAUAUCAGAGGUAUUUGAUACACAUAUCUAAAAGUAAAAAGCCUUUGGCACUAGUCUUUGGACUAUCUCUCCUUUUAAACCAGAAUUCAGGAGCCAUGUUUUCCUAAUUCUUUGUUUUUUGGCUCCUUAGAUGACAGCUACUUUGUGAAUUACACAUUUACUGACUAGUAACUGUGUUUAAGUCAUUUAGUCCAAUUGCAGAAGCCUACAGUAAGCCCUGAGGUGAUAACAGCUGUGGAUUUCCUGGUGACUCAGGUUAGAUUUGAACGGGUAAACAAGAGCUGAAAAGGUCUUCAUUAUACCGCUACUCUCAUGAAAGGCUUCUUCUACCCAGGCAUCUAUCUAUUGGUUGCUGAACUGUACAUGAAAGGGGAGGAAAGUUCUGUAACUGUUAAGCAAUUUCUGUUAAACUGAAAAGGGAAGUGUUAUUCGCAUCAUUGGCCAAGAGAUUAUCAGCUUUUAUGGUCACAAGUAAUUGAAUGCCCAACCCAGUAUGCUGGGGGCACAUUGCUACAGUGUGCAGUUUAUUGAGCAAACAAAAAGCAAGCAUGCACAAUUUAGCAAUAACUGGACUUGAAGAGCCUCAUGCUUUCAGUGCCUUUUCUCCUUCCACUUUCGUGAUGCUAAUACAGAUCAUAUCAGUUUGGUUUUUCAAUAGGAAGUAGUACCGUUCUUUCUUUCCUUGGCUCCAAGCUGGAGAAAUCAGAUAUUUGGAAACAGACAUGAGUAUUAAGCAAAUGAAAAACUGUGUUAUCUUAAGAAUGAAUCUUUCAGUUAAACCAACCAAAGUCAGCAGCAAGAAUGAGGUUAGAUAAUCUCUUUGCAUGAUAUACAGUACUGCAAUGUGUUGACUAUCAGAAUACGGGAAAUGAGCAGAAAGGCAAACUCCCUGGACUACCUCUCUAGAUGCUGCCACCUUGCACUGCCCUCUCUGGAAGAGCGCAGGAUAAAUGCAGACUAGUUUUUAGUUGUAGGUGUAGCAGAGAACUGGAAGAAAUUUGCUUCAGAGUCAAAGUCUGGGCUUCCCCUACUGCAGGCAACCAUCUCAUAUAAACCCUUUCGGAAACAAUCAAGCUUUAUCCUAAAGCUGUGUACAUUUCUUCUUGUCAGUAAUCCUGCUUCUUCAGAAUCUUACUCAAAUGAAGGUCUGAAAUCUUUUACUAAUACCCAGACUGAAGUUACUAAUAGUCAGUUUUUACCUAAUUAAUCUUUAGCCAACAUCACCCUUUUGCUAGUGUUUCUUUCCCCAUGUGCUUUGUCCUCUGACUUCAUUUUACUGUGAUAAAUAAGCCAGCUUCCAUAACAUUUUCAUUUCCAUUAACUUUCCUCUGUAUCAGACCCAGUUUAAGCUGUUAUUUUUCUUAAAAAAUAAAACGAACAAAAUUCAGUGCAAUGACAUCAUCUAUUGUAAAAAUAUAUCUUCCAGUAUAUCCUAGGAUAUUUUAUGAAAGCUUGUCUUGGCUCCUAUUUAUCCUGUAUUCAGCUAAAAUUCCAGAUAUCCUUCUUCCUAUGUCAUUUUUGAACAGAUGAGUUGUCAGAGUGCCUUCUUACGAACUCAGAAGUAUAUGAUCCUGCACAUCAUACAAUGACAUUUAAUUUCCUCCUCCAGUGUUCUACCCCCCCCCCCCCCAACUCCAGGCCUUAACUCCAUGGUAUUCUUGCAUAACCUUCUGAUACUCCCUGCUAUUGAUUCUGUAACUUUAUGACGUUCCUAACUCUUGUAUCACUAUCACUGCCGAAACUAUAAACGAGAUAGGUAUACAGACCAAAUUUGAAGAGUUCUAUAAAACUUCUUCCAGUCUGAUAGUUUUCCUUUGUUUCCCUCAUCUCCGUUUCACUUACCAGCAUCUUCUUCCCGUAUUAUAUAAAUACCUUACUGAUUUACAGGUAGACUGGAUCUGCCACAUUUCUUCUACCUAAGAAAUCAGUUACUGAAAAUACAUUGGUUCUAGCAAAUAAAUGCACAUUGUAUUUUAUCAAGUUGUAUGCAUAAGGAUAAGUUUUCUAUUAUGGAAAUCAUACAUAAGGCACAUGUAUGGGAAGUCUCAAGUAAGCAAUUUUAGAAAAGCACAGCAGCUUCUUGCUAAGUCUGAGGUUCAACAAUUUCAUUGUUCAAAAGGCAAGAUAGGAAACGCAAGCAAUAGAUACAAAUGUGCUAGGCUUCCUGGAAAAGCCAAAUACAGGAAAAGGUUUUAAGCUAUUUUUGUUUCAUUUCUUAAAGGAGACACAUAUAUGAUUAUCAAAGCCCCAUUUUGAUUAGCAUCAGGCUCAAAUAAGCUGUGCUUGCUGAAGACAUGGUGAAAAGUGAGCCAUGAGGCACAUAAAUAAUUUAAACUCCUUUUAUGACACUCUCCACACUUAGCACAAGCUAAUCCUAUUGCAGAGCUUGGUUCCUACUCUGCGCUCACAACAAACAAAUAGGAGCCCCUCUGAGGAAUAGAGAUGGCUUUUCUGAGACUGCAGGAACGAACUUUAGUAUGUUAAAAGUCCCAGAGUAUUCGAAAAUGCUCUGAACUUGUUCAUUUUUGGAGAAAACUCUGAUUAAUCUGAGGUAGAGAGGCACUAAAAGAGUUCUCAAGGUACUAGAAAAAAUCUGUAGUUUGGCUUAUACAUGUCAAACCUUCAUAUGUUGAUGCACUGAUGAGAAGAGCUGGUGAUCUUUUGAGGAAUUGUACAUAACAUAUCUUACAUACACAGACUAAAUAAAAACUGACUUUAGUUAUGCAAUGAAUAGCUCUUCAGGCCAUGCAGAACUCCAUAGACAUUUGCAGUCCUCUUUUAAGUCAUCUACACCUGAUUUUGUUCUAAACUGACAACACGUUUGUUGUUGUACCCAGUGGCUUUCUGAUGUCACUGCCUUUCAUCGGUGAACAUUCCUGCUUGUGAUCCUGAAAGUCAUUCAAUAAAUCAUGCACAUCUUCAUGAGA